AACUCAAUUUUUAUUUUUCACUAUUUUUCUUCCAAGCAAGCAUUCAUUUUCAUUCUUUCUAUUUUUGUUCUUUUCUUUCACAUCAUAUUUACAAAACAGAUGUUUCUUUUCUAUAUUUUUAUUUUCAAUGCUUGCUUGGUUUUUCUUUUAUUUUUUUCAAGAGUUGUGGUACUUACCGAUUCUCCCCAACUUAUUUCUUACUCACCCUAAGUGAAUGCUCUUAACUUUUUACGGCAAAAGAACAAUAAUCAAGAUUUUCCGGGUUGUAAAAAAAAGAUUUUU
rnacentral:lncRNA from 1 species